ACCUAAUAGAUACCCUGGUAGUCCACGCCCUAAACGAUGCGAACUGGAUGUUGGGUACAUUACGGUACUCAGUGUCGAAAGCUAAACGCGUUAAGUUCGCCGCCUGGGGAGUACGGUCGCAAGACUGAAACUCAAAGGAAUUGACGGGGGCCCGCACAAGCGGUGGAGUAUGUGGUUUAAUUCGAUGCAACGCGAAGAACCUUACCUGGCCUUGACAUCUGUCGAAUCCUGCAGAGAUGCGGGAGUGCCGCAAGGAACGACAAGACAGGUGCUGCAUGGCUGUCGUCAGCUCGUGUCGUGAGAUGUUGGGUUAAGUCCCGCAACGAGCGCAACCCUUGUCCCUAGUUGCCAGCACAUCAUGGUGGGAACUCUAGGGAGACUGCCGGUGACAAACCGGAGGAAGGUGGGGAUGACGUCAAGUCCUC
rnacentral:rRNA from 1 species